GCUGCCUUGAACGUUGUACUUCCUGAGGAUUCAGAAGACACUGAGUUGGAACAGGAAGUUGAAGAUGAAAUGUAUGAGGUAGCAUGCCUUUUUGGGGAGGUUAGUCCACAGGGCCCUCUGACACCUUCCAUAGGAAGGUUGUAUCGCAAGUCUGGCAGGAUAAUCAGGAUGCCACCUGAGAGCUCUCUCCCUCCCCAACUUAUUGUGUGGCCCAGAUAUAGGUACAAGUUGAAGUGUGGUGAAUAUGAGAGCAUCCCUAUGGUUUACAAGGUGAAGAGACAGGAUGGCUGUGAAAUCACUUAUGGCAGGCUCCACAAGAAACAUACCAUGGCCAAGCAGGAGAGAUUGGAGUCCAAGAGAGCCUCUCACAAAACAUUGGAAUGUAACUGUGAGAGAGUGAAAACCAAGGUACCUUACAAAUUAACAAGUAAAAACAAAGAUUUGAGGCAGAUGCAGUAAAGUUUAGGAAAUACCCAGCAAAUAUAGAGGAAACAAAUUGCUGAGUUCCACCUACAAAGAAGAGCUAAAUAUUGCAUUGUCGUGAUGGUUUGGAGCAUGUGAUCUCUCUCUUGAUUUGAACUAAUAAAGCUAUUAUACCUACAAACAAGUUAAGAAAACGGGACGUUGUAAAGCCUUUGGAAUUAUAAGUUGGAAAACAGCAAAUAAAUUGAAUUGCAUAUGCAUGUCAUUCUUAAGCAUUUUCUUCCUCUCUUAAAAUGGCCACAUCACUAAUAACACCAAUAGAGUUGAGUCAUUCAUGAAUACUUCUGGUGUGUAUGCUU